ACAAUAUCACCGCUGAAUUUAUCUAAUCUGUCCCUCUCCUUCCUGUCCACAACUGCUCUCUCUCUCUCUCUCUCUCUCUCUCUCUCUCUCUCCCUCUCUCCCUCUCUCUCCCUUAGCACGCAUGCCCGACACCUUCUCCCCUUUAAACACAACUAAAUAUCACGCCAUGACCCCAGGACUCCACAAAAUUACAAAAAUGAGGAAUGAGUAACUGAUGAAUUCCUGGAUUUGCUACAUAAUUUGACACCUAUAGAGGGAGGAUCAGAGCCUCUUGGGGGGUUGAUAAAGGGUUCAGAAGGGUUAAUGUAGCCUGGGAUAAGUAAUGUAGGUUUAAUAGAGGAUUGAAUACCCCAACAAGACCCAGUAAGGAGGAGGAGGAAACAUAGAUAGAAAUAUAGAUAAAACAACCAUUACAGUGUUUUAUAUAGGGUUUGUUAAGGGUUAAUGUAGCCUGGGGAAUAGUGUUAGAACCUUUGAUAGAGGAUUGAAUACCCCAGCAAGGAGGAGAAUUAGGAAACAUAGAUAGAAAUAUAGAUAAAACAACCAUUACAGUGUUUUAUAUAGGUUUGUUAAGGGUUGUGAAGGGUUAAUGUAGCCUGGGGAAUAGUGUUAGAACCUUUGAUAGAGGACUGAAUACCCCAGCAAGGAGGAGAAUUA